CGUUACUGAAGCAAAUUGUAUCAAAAAUGCAAAAAAGACCCAUUUUUCCAAAUUGUUUUCUAACAAGGAAGUCAUAUUGUUUACUUUUUGAUACUGUUCUUUAGAAAACGAUGCAUUAGAGUUUUACAUUUCAUAUAGUGUGUUCUAUUUAUUUUAUACUUAGCAAUUUCUGUAAUUUUUAAGCACUGUUCUUCCCAUACUAGAGGCUCUGCUCUAACUAUUCAACUCUGUUUGUCCUAGUUUUCCUAAAAUUCCCUUUUCCACUGGUGUGUGGUGCAAGAUGAGGCACAUUUUCCAUGGAUGGUGAACAGAGGGAGGAGCCUUUUGAUCACAACCCGGUCACCCCACUUCUAAGCCACUGUGCCUCCAGCCCCACAAGACUAAGGAGAGAGAGUGCAGAGUGGUGGAGAGUGAGCUGUGCUGGGACCGUUGUUUCCGUAACCUCGUUUUCUGUGUCCAGCUGACACACCUUCAAAGCGGCAUCAGGUCCUACACUGUAGCUUGCAAUGUGCCUGUUUCCAGAAACCAAGGUGAAAGUGCUUUUAGACAGUGUUCCCAUGCAAGAGUCCCUUCCCAGCUUUUUUCUGGAAAUGCAUGUUUCUCUGAACUCUGAGUCCCAAGAAAAAUCAUUUGAGACAUCAAGAAAAUGGGGGAAGUGCUAAAAUUGUGUGGGAAUUCAAGCUUAACAAUAAACAUCAAGACAUUUUUGGUAAAAAUGAAUCCACUGACAUCGGGGAGGAGCAAGAGAACAGCACGCUGACACUGGGUCAGAGGCUAAGACCGACAUUUCUGGGAACCACUCCCGGAAGGGCACAGAUGAGACACUUUCAGCCUCUCGUCAGCCAGCCUGGCCUGUAGCUGCUGCACGUUAUGAGUGUGUUCCUGGCAUGACUGCUUCUAACAAAGAAAUGCUGAGGCAGUGUCACGCUGGUGUCUGUCCUCCUUACAGAAUGCCUGAACAGUUCCAUUGACUCAAAGUGAAGAUCAAAAGAACCAAAGGACAGCAAUAGCCAAGUGUAAUCAUCAGUAACCCUGUGUUCUAUCCACAGUUAAAAGAAUAUUGGCAGAGAAACAGCCUUGGUGUUCCAGCAGGAGUGAAGAGGAACAGGAAAACACGUGGCAGUAGCCCUGAAACAGCCACUUCUGGUGGUUGCCACUCACCUGAGGAUGUGAGUCCUGGCAGGCCAGGCUCCUGGGGACAGGGGGCCCAAGGCGCAGUAGAGAGUAAUUUUUAAGAUUAUGGAUGGACUGUUGGGUACUGGUUAAGAAUUCUGGGUUUGGCCAGGCACAGUGGCUCAUGCCUGUAAUCCCAGCACUUUGGGAGACUGAGGCAGGUGGAUCACGAGCUCAGGAAAUUGAGACCAUCCUGGCUAACACGGUGAACCCCUGUCUCUCCUAAAAAUACAAAAAAAUUAGCCAGGCUUGGUGACGGGUGCCUGUAGUCCCAGCUACUCAGGAGGCUGAGGCAGGAGAAUGGCGUGAACCUGGGAGGCGGAGCUUGCAGUGAGUUGACAUUGUGCCACCACACUCCAGCCUGGGAGGCAAAGCGAGACUCCGUCUCAGAAAAAAAAAAAAAAAGAAUUCUGGGUUUGAAUCCUGCCUCUCCGUCUGCUAGGGAUAUGAUUUAGGGCAAGUUGCUUGAGCUCUUUGGGCCUCUCUUAUUACAUCUGUAUAAUAGAGGUGGUAUUGUUUGACUUCCAUUUGUGAAGUUUAAAUGAGAUUUUUUAUUGUUGUUUUUAUGUUAAUCCCUAGUACAUGGCCUGCUGUAAACACCCAGGACACCCAGGAUAUGGUCAUUGCUCUUUGAUUUUCCUCAUCCCCAGUCUCAAGGGGAAGCCAGGACAAUGAGAACAGCCACUUGCCAUCAAGAGUCACUGAAAGGGCCUCAGGGUGGGAUGGUGGGGGGGAUAAGAACCAUGAGAGAAGUUGGCACAAAGGAGUUAUGGGACAAAGCGUCCAAGAUAGGCAGAAAAGAAAAUGUAGCCAGUUGAUGGGGAAGAAAGGAAGUCAGAGGGCUUAGACACUGAGGGGGACAGAACAUCUCCAUGUGCACUCUCAUCUCUGGUAGUCAGCAACAGGUAUCCACGGGGAGGGCCCUACAUCAUCUGCUACCCUGAAGGAUCUGGAGGUAAGAGGCUCUGGGGAGAGGUGCAGUGACCCUGCAGGCCAGCCCUCCAACCUCCUCCCACAGUGGAGACGGCAUGCCCCUCUGCCAGCUGAGACAGCCCACACACACCCCAGCCUUAAUGAUUGUUCUCUCUACCUCUCCCCCACUCCUCCUCCACCUCUGCAUGCACCUCAGAGCCCGUGCCAAGAACUAGCAGUAGUCCUGGACUCGAGGUCCAUAAAAAUCAGUCAACUGAAUAACACCAUCAAAUCUUUGGUAAGAGUCCAGUGGGGUCCCCUUAUUCCACGCUGCCAAUCCUGGGCUCCAGUUUCCCCUUGGGGCCCUGAGGAAAGGAGCUGGGGGCACCUGGUGCCAAGGACAAAUAGGGAACUGGGGCGCCCAGGCCUCACCUAGAGGGACCCCAGAGCAUGCAGUAUGGCUCUUCUUUUGCUGCCCUCUUUGCCGACUCUCUCUUCUCCAGACACCCCUGGAGAGGGGUAUAAACACCUUUGUUUUAUCAACCCAAAGUGCCAUUGAUUUAAAGACACCUCUAUUUGAGAAAUGUUGGAAAUCGUAUGUCUUAGAAUUGAUCAAAUACACCAGAAUGUGAGCUGAAAAGAAAGCACCGGACUUAAAAUUUAGGAAGUCACUGGUGAUCUUACUUGGAGAAAUCCAUUUCAGUAGAUUGGUAAGUGCAGCACUAGAUGGCUGUGAGUUGGACAAAUGGGAGGUGUGGCAUUGUAUGCAGCAGAGAUGCAUGGAUGGUGUGCAGACCAGUAUUGCAAAAAAAUUGUGGUGAUGGGAAGAUGUGAUAAAGCUCAAGAUGUGGUACGAUUUAAAGGAAGGUAAUUUUUGUAUGAGGACAACUUGAGCCUUUGUCAAGGCUAAGGAGAAGAAGCUGAUGGAGAGACUAAAGGAGUAUAUGAGGCGCUGUGGAAAUAGAUUAGUGGAGGGGGCAUAGAUAUGAAAUUAGUCAGGGCUGGCCUUAAGUGUAACUUUUUAACUUAUUAGCUGAUGUUGGACAUCUCACCUCUGUGAGCUCAGGAGGCUCACAAUCUCCUGAGCUUUGGUCUUCUCAAUUGUAAAAGUGAGUUAAUCAUUUCCCUACCUUAUGGAGCUGUUGUUUGUAUUAAGUAAUUUAUCUACAUAAAGUUCUUGGAACAUUAUGGUCAGGACAUAGUAGAUACUCAAUAAAUGGGGUCUACUAUUAUGAAGUAGAUACUCAAUAAAUGGGAUCUACUAUUAUGAGACUACGAGAGACAGCAUAAUUGAUUAGCCACGUCCAGAUGGGAAGGGAUGGGAUCAAGCUCACAGGUUGAAGAAUUCACCCUGAAAAGGAAGAGAAAUCCCUCUGUGGUGGUUUGAAAAGAUGUCCACAGAUUCUUUGCUAUCCCUUCCUUCAGAAGAUAGGAUCUAAUUCCUCUCUUCUUGAGUGCAAGGGAUGCUUAGUGAAUUACCUCUAAAUAAUAGAAUGUGGUUGAAAUGACAAUGUUCAGCUUUUGAGAGUAAGUUGUAAAAGGCAUGUGACUUACUCCAUGCUUCUUCUCUUGGAUCACAUAAUCUGGAGGAAGCCAGCUGACUUUUCACUUGAACACUCAAGCACUCUCUGGGGAGGUGCUGUGCAGUGAGGGACUGAGGCCUCCUGCCAACAGCCAUGUGAGUACACCAUCUUGGAAGUGAAGCCUCCACUCCUAGUCUAGCUUUCAGAUGACUGCAGCCCCAGCUGAUAUCUUGUCUGCAACCUCAUGAAAGACUCUGUACUAGAACCACUCAGCUAAGCAACCUCCAAAUUCCUGACUCACAGAAACUACGAGAUAACACAUAUUUGUUCUUUUAAGCUGCUAAGUUUUGGGGUAAUUUGUUACAAAGGGUAACAUAUACAGAUUUUCUCUGAGGCAGAAGGAAACCAGAGAAUGACAGGUGAAAGAUGAAAAGAUAGAAAGGAAAAAAGAUAAAUGUUUCUGUAACAUUAAAAUAUGAGGUAUGUUGUCUGCUGACAAUGAGGUGGCUUGGCAAGACUGCUAAGAGAUUGGAACAGCCAGGCAGAAAACAGGAAAGGGAAUUAACUUGGAACACAAAUAAGAUUGAGCCUACCUACCUUUAUGCUAAACCCAACUACAGAAAUCAUUUUGCUAAUGGAACCAGAUCAGACUCCACAUAAUGAAUCUUUAUCUCAAUCGUGAAAUUCAGAGGCUGGGGGCCUCUCUGAGCCUAUCCCAGAGACCACCUUUGUGGGCAAACUGCUAAUGAGUGAAUUCAGGGAUGAGGAUGGCUCAGGCUUAUCUUGAAAAGUACUCCCUGAUGUCAAAAUGAUUUGCAACAGCUACAUCAAGUCUAGCACAUUAUUUAUGAAGAGGGAUAGACUAUCAGGAAGUAUUGUAAGAGAAUAAUCAACAAGCCUUAUGUAAUCUGCAGCAAACAUACUGCCGUAAGCGGAAAAUCCACUGUCUUUCAAAUGACUCGUUUGCAUUAUUCCUUCCUUUUUGGACUGUCUCUCUCUCUCUCUCACUCUCUCUCUCUCUCUCUCCUUCUCUCUCUCUCUUUCUCUCUCCCUUCCUUCCUGCCUCUCUCCACUCUGGCUGCUAGCAAGAGAGCCCUGGGAAUUCUCUGUGAUGUAGCCAGCCAACAGUUUUUAGGGUGGUGCUCCAGCACAUAAAAGGGACCAGGCCAGGACUGCCGUCUCCUAAAGUUAAUUUAAAGAAACUAAGCCCUGGUUUUUGUAAACCCCACAGGUCAACCAGGAAUUGAGUCACUGCAUCUCCCUGCAGAAUGACAAAUCAUGCUCUCCUUAGUAGCUUAACUUUACACCAAUUCUGUUUGCAAACUGGGGAACUGAAACAUCACUGUAAAAUUGGUGCCUUUUGUAUCUUACACAAUAGGGCUCAUUCAUUCAUUCACCCUUUUAUUCACUCAGCUGUUUAUUUAGCAACUGAUUAUUGAGUGCCUCCUCCAUGAGGGGACAGGCAUGUACUAAUUUUGGGAAUAAAGAGAUGUAUAUUGUGGUCCUAAGGAGAAGCAAAAUGUCCUGGCACAUAGUAAGCACUCAAUAAAUAUAUAUUGAAUAAAUAAUAAUUCCUGCUCUCUCUGGGCAUCAUAGUCUAGUAGGGGGAAGAGGCAUGUAAACAAAUAAAGUUGUUUUAGUACAAUAGUAAAGGAAUCGAUCAAGUACUAUACAUGUAGAAUACCAUAUCUACCUGGAAGUUAGGAAUGACUUGAUAGAAGAGGUAACAUUUGCUUGAUGUUGAAGAACAAAUAUGAGUUUUCCAGGAAUGGAAAGUAGGAAAGGUCUUUGCAGGCAGACCAAAAUUAUUAUACUCAUAGGUCUUAUUGUCCACGGGAUUGGUUUUGUCACUCCUGUCUAAUCCUAACUUGCAAAUAUAAAUAUUUAUCAAUACUUCCCUGGAUUUUAAUUGUUUUUGUGUUUGUUUCCAAGACAGUGAUAGGUGGUCAAAGUUAGAUGUAAAAUAACUCUACAAAAGAGAUUAUUUUUUACAAAGUAGAUGACAUUAAUUCAAGAAAAAAAGUAUUUUAUGUUUCUUCCUGAAAGAACCUUUUAAUUUCUUGUAUUUUCUAGGCCAGGUGGAAGAUAUUCUCCCUAAAAAAUGGUCUUCAGAUUACCUCUAAACCUUCCUCUUUGACACCUGGCUGAGAACCCAGAAAACAUCCCCUGUUCCAUAGCAGACCAGUGUUUACUGUUAUUUGCCUCUUUAGAGCAGUUCAGAGGACCAUCAGCUACCAUACCCACUAAAUGAAAAUGGCAAAAGGACUUGUAAUGGCCAAAUGCAGCAAUAUAAUUUGUUAUUAUCAAUUCACUAGUGAUUUGAAAUAUUGAGAAAAUUCCCAAUUGAAUGACAGCAUGGAAAAUCACAUUACAUCAGGGAAUAGUAUUUUCUAGGCCACCAGAUUUCUCUAAAUUGGAAUUUGGAAAUAAAUUUUAUUUGCAGCAAGAAACAUGUAUUAAUACUGACACUUACUGAAAUGUUUUAAUGAGUUAGAGCAAGCAUUUUGUGUCAAGAUACUACUGGUCUAACGAGGCCUGCCACUAUUAUUGAUGCCAAUUAUGUACUUUUCCGUGAAGUUGUCUAACCUGUUCUAUUAAGCCCGUAAACUGCUUUGACAAUCGUAAAAGAGAUAAAAAGGAACAAAGUAAGAAUGAUGGGAAAUAGAAAGCCAAGGCACCCAAUUUUCUUCUAGUUUAAUCAAUAAUUUGGGGCUCUAUCACAUUUGCUCUCAGCCUUACAAUCUGAUCCUUAUUUUUUGCCAGGCUGCAACCCUCACUGCAUUUAAUAGAGGUUGAUGGAUAUUUUUAUAGCCCUGCAGUUUCAAACUGAUUAUCAGGUGUUUAACCAGCAAAGCCAUGCAAUAUUUGUAUAAAUCAAUCCUGUAAGGAAAGGUUAUCACCCACAAACCCAGUCAGUGUCAAACCAGAACAAGGUAAAGAUUUGGAAUUCUUCCCUUUCUGGAUAACACACUAUUGCUUAUCUUCAACUUUCUGGAUAAUUUAGGAUUUUAUUGAAUAUGAUUCUUCAAGAACUGAAUGAUCAUCCUAAACAAAUCAAAGUCACUGUAUCAUCACAGAGCAGCAUUUCCCACACUCUCAGUAAAACGCUGUCUACAUCAAAGGGGUUCUGUGACCCAGGAGGUUUUGGAAACUCAGGAUUAAACAGAGCUCCACAUGGUCCCUUGCUACAGGCAUUCUCAGCUGCCUUCAUAAGGCGAUGUGCAUUGUGAAUCUCUAAGUGGAAAUAUGGAAUGCAGUGUUUUCCAGGUCACUGGACCACAGAAGCCUUGUUUGAGAAUCACCUAGUGGCCCCAGUGGCCCACAGAUCAUAUUUUGGGAAAUGUUGCUAUUUGAGUAUAAUUGUUAUUCUUGAACACCCCAAAUUGUUUUGGUGUGGGAUUUUUUGUUUUGCUUUGUUUUUGUUUUUGUUCUGAGACAGGGUAUCAUUCUAUCACCCAGGCUGGAGUGCAGUGGUGCAAUCACUGCUCACCACAGCCUCGAUCACCUGGGCUCUGGUGAUCCUCCUGUCUCAGCCUCCCAAGUAGCUGGAACUACAGGCAUGCAUUACCAUGCCUGGUUCAUUUUUUUUGUAUUUUUUGUAGAGACUGGGUUUUGCCAUGUUGCCCAGGCUGGUCUUGAAGUCCUGAGCUCAAGCAAUCCAUUUGCCUGAGCCUCCCAAAGUGCUGGGAUUACCGGAGUGAGCCACUGCGCCUGGCUAGGUUUUUCAUUUUUUUUUAAAGGUGAAAUUCACAUAACAUAAAAUUAAUGAUUUUAAUGUGAACAAUUCAGUGGCAUGUAGUCCAUUCACAUUGUUGUGCAUCCACCACUUCUAUCUAGUAUUAAAGCAUUCCAUCUCCCCAAAAUAAAACUCUGUACCUGAUGAGUAGUUAAUUUCCUAUUCCCUCUUUCCCCUAGCCCCUAGCAACUACCUAUCAGCUUUCUAUUCCUAUGGGUCUACCUAUUCUGCAUAUUUCAUAUAAAUUUAAUCAACCAGUAUGUGACCUUUCAUGUCUGGUUUCUUUCUAACAGCAGCAUGCUUUUUAGUUUCAUCUACAUUGUGGCAUACACCUGUGCUUCGAUUCUCUUUAUGGCUGCAUAACGUUCCAUUGUAUGGAUAGACCACAUUUGUUUGUCCAUUCACUCAUUGAUGGUCAUUUGUUUUCACCUUUGGACCAUUGUGAAUAGUGCUGCUAUGAAGACUCUUGUCCCAGUAUUUUGUUUCCAAUUUGUUUGGGGAUAUACCUAGGUGUGGAAUUGCUGGGUUAGAGAAUUCAUCUUGCCACUACAAUUUUGUGGCUUCCUAAGGCAAAUUGAAUAGUUCGUAUGACUUAGCUAGCUUGAGA
rnacentral:lncRNA from 1 species